GAUGAACGCUGGCGGCGUGCCUAAUACAUGCAAGUCGAGCGAACAGAUAAGGAGCUUGCUCCUUUGACGUUAGCGGCGGACGGGUGAGUAACACGUGGGUAACCUACCUAUAAGACUGGAAUAACUCCGGGAAACCGGGGCUAAUGCCGGAUAACAUUUAGAACCGCAUGGUUCUAAAGUGAAAGAUGGUUUUGCUAUCACUUAUAGAUGGACCCGCGCCGUAUUAGCUAGUUGGUAAGGUAACGGCUUACCAAGGCAACGAUACGUAGCCGACCUGAGAGGGUGAUCGGCAACACUGGAACUGAGACACGGUCCAGACUCCUACGGGAGGCAGCAGUAGGGAAUCUUCCGCAAUGGGCGAAAGCCUGACGGAGCAACGCCGCGUGAGUGAUGAAGGUCUUCGGAUCGUAAAACUCUGUUAUUAGGGAAGAACAAAUGUGUAAGUAACUGUGCACGUCUUGACGGUACCUAAUCAGAAAGCCACGGCUAACUACGUG
rnacentral:rRNA from 1 species